rnacentral:rRNA from 1 species
UACGGAGGGUGCAAGCGUUAAUCGGAAUUACUGGGCGUAAAGCGCACGCAGGCGGUUGGAUAAGUUAGAUGUGAAAGCCCCGGGCUCAACCUGGGAAUUGCAUUUAAAACUGUCCAGCUAGAGUCUUGUAGAGGGGGUAGAAUUCCAGGUGUAGCGGUGAAAUGCGUAGAGAUCUGGAGGAAUACCGGUGGCGAAGGCGGCCCCCUGGACAAAGACUGACGCUCAGGUGCGAAAGCGUGGGGAGCAAACAGG